rnacentral:rRNA from 1 species
UACGUAGGGUGCGAGCGUUGUCCGGAAUUAUUGGGCGGAAAGGGCUCGUAGGCGGUUUGUCACGUCGGGAGUGAAAACUCAGGGCUUAACCCUGAGCCUGCUUCCGAUACGGGCAGACUAGAGGUAUGCAGGGGAGAACGGAAUUCCUGGUGUAGCGGUGAAAUGCGCAGAUAUCAGGAGGAACACCGGUGGCGAAGGCGGUUCUCUGGGCAUUACCUGACGCUGAGGAGCGAAAGUGUGGGGAGCGAACAGG